rnacentral:lncRNA from 1 species
AUGAGAAUGAAUAUCCCAUCCCUAACCUUUCUUCUCCUUUUAUCCCAUGAAAUAAUUCAUCAAACAUCUACACAUUUCCUUUCUUUCUUUAACUUUCUUUCUUUCUUUCUUUCUUUCUUUCUUUCUUUCUUUCUUUCUUUCUUUCUUUCUUUCUUUCUUUCUAAAUUUCUUUCUUUCUCUCUUUUUCUCUUUCUCUCUUUCUUUCUUUCUCUCUUUCUCUCUUUCCCCUUAUCUUCCAUCUUAGAACCAAUACUCUGUAUUGGCUCCAAGGCAAAAGAGUGGUAAGGGCUAGGUAACGGGGGUUGAGUGACUUGCACAGGGUCACACAGUCAGGAAGUGUCUGAGGCCAGAUUUGAACCUAGGACCUCCUGUCUCUAGGCCUGGCUCUCCAUCCACUGAGCCAUUCAGCUGCCUCCUUAUCCUUAUUUUCCAUUUAAUUGGCUCUUCUUUAUUUUUACACCUUUAUUUCUUGAGAUACCUUUCCUAUCUUUCCCCUUGCUUUUCUUUGAGACCCAUAUCUCAUUACAAAGAAUCUAAAGAGAAAACAACAAUUCAGCAAAAUUAACCCGGUACGCUCUAUAUUUGAGAAAUGAGGCCUUUGUCAGAGAUGUUUGCUAUACAUUUUCCCCAGUUUAUUGUUCUUCUAAUUUUGGUUACAGUGGUUUUGUUUGUGCAAAACCUUUUAAAUGAAAUGUAGUCAGAGUUAUCUAUUUUACAUUGCAUAAUGUUCCCUUGGUUUUGUUUAGACAUAAAUCCUUCUCUUCUCCAUAAGUCUGACAGGGAAACUAUCCUAUGUUCCUCUAAUUUGUUUAUGGUGUCCCCCUUUAUUUCUUAAUCAUGUAUCUAUUUUGACUUUACCUUAGUAUAUGGCGUAAAGUCUUGUUCUGUGCCUGGUUUCUGCCAUACUAUUUUCCAGUUUUCCCAGCGAUUUUUGUUGAAUAAUGAGUUCUUCUUCCAAAAGCUUGGAUCUUCGAGCUUAUCAAACACUAGGUUACCAUGGUGAUUUGCUGCUAUGUAUUGAGGGCCUAAUCCAUUCCAUUGGUCCACCCCUAUUUCUUAGGCAGUAACAGAUUGUUUUGAUGGUUGUCACUUUUUAAUAGUUGGAGAUCCAACACAGCUAAGCCAAUUUCCUUCAUUCCCCCCCCCCCCAAUUCCUUUGAUGUUCUUGACCCUUUGGUCUUCCAGAUGAAUUUUGUAAUUAUUUUUUCUAGCUCAGUGAAAUAAUUUUUGGGUCCUGGAGAUGCCUUUUGGCUCAAGCAUUCAUUAGAUUUAAGUUAGACAGAGC